UACAGAGGGUGCGAGCGUUAAUCGGAAUUACUGGGCGUAAAGCGCGCGUAGGCGGCUUUUCAAGUCGAUUGUGAAAUCCCCGGGCUUAACCUGGGAACUGCAGUCGAGACUGUCUAGCUAGAGUAUGGGAGAGGGAAGUGGAAUUUCAGGUGUAGCGGUGAAAUGCGUAGAUAUCUGAAGGAACAUCAGUGGCGAAAGCGACUUCCUGGACCAAUACUGACGCUCAUGUGCGAAAGCGUGGGGAUCAAACAGG
rnacentral:rRNA from 1 species